CUGAGUAAGCACAAUUUCAUUACCACAAUGCACCCAUUUACUGUAUAUAAAAUAGAGCUAAAUGUACAUCCUUUCCAUUUGUAGCAUCUGCACAUUAGGCAGAAGAGCCUUCCAGGCGGACUCGUCCCCAGUGUGGCUCAGCCCCAGAUCCAUAGGUUUUACUCGCUGGUCUCCAGGUGCACCUGGGCAGACUCAGGCCAAUGGGGGGCCCAGGGCCGACAGAAGUGACCGCUUCAGGAGGUCAUACCUUUGUGAUAGGGAGCACUUGCCCAGUUUUCUGGCUGGAGCAACCCCCCCACAAGCAGUGGGGGGUCAAGCCUUCCUCCUAUGGUGCCAUGUCUCUGACCUCCUACCUGAACAUUCUAAGCCAGUUUGGGUUUUUUUGUUGUUCUUUCUGACCGGGCCUACUGCACGCAGUUCCCAAGCCAGGGAUCAAACCCCGGACAUGGGUCACAGCAGUGACAAUGCUAGAUCCUUAACCUGCUGAGCCACAGGGAACUCCUCUAGGCCAGUUUAGAGGGUAAAACAUGCACCAGCUGCUGACCAUACCCGCUGGCAGGGCCACACUAAUUCCUCCUGGACUACUGCCAAUCAUUUUUCCACUUUUUCUCAAAAGUUCUGUUUUCAUCUUUUUCUAUGUCUUAAUUAGCUUUUAAAUUGGAAAGCUGGCAGCUGAGAUAUCAGGGAAAGUUGUUUAAGGCCAUUUGAGGUAUAAAAGCUUGUUAGCCCUUAUUUUCAUAGGAGAUGCUUUGUAAAAACUGUUGAACAUCUGGGGCUCCGCCGCGUGCUCUGAGCACAGUAAUGACUGAGGCCGGGCCCCUUGCCCUGGGGAGGCGCCCACGGCCUGCGGAGGUGGGGCGGGAAGGCAAGCAAGUAAACAACGAAGUCUAAGACGAGCAGAAGGAAAUAAGUGCUAAAUAUAGGAGCUGCAAGGCCGGGACAGGGAGGAGGGGGCCAAUCACGCUGAUGGAGGGAUGAGAGAAGGCUUCCUGGCGAGUCUGCGGGACCUCGCUCCGAGCCCACAAUGCUAAGUGGGCUCAAAGAAAACCAAUCUGUCACUUCAGCAGAAGGCCUUAAUCCUUACUCCAGCCACAUGCGUCAUCCCCCCGCCAGGCCCUGGGGAGAGGCGGCAGAAGCCCCAACCCUGACACUCAGCCUAGGGUGGGUCCCAGGGCCCACACCUCCCAAAGACAACAACACCCCUCAUCACCAGAGCCUAGAAGAGCUGACUGUAAGUACAGAUUGAAUUUCUGUUUUUACUUAAAGCCCCUAAUUUCUGGACAUUUAUUUGGGGGAUUACAGUGGUGGCUUAAGCUACUUUAAGAUGCUGUAAGUUGAAGCCUUUCCUUCACUUGGCUGCGAAAGUUUAAUUCAGUCUAAUUAUUUCAUAUGGCAUUGACUAUAAUAGUUUCAUAAUUUCUAGUAUAUUAAGCACUUAAUAUGUUGUGUCAUUUGAAAUCACAUAUUAAAUUCAGCAAAGUACAUUUUAAUGAGAGUUAAGUGGUGUGAAAAUAUUAAUACAUUGUGAUGGUUCAUCUUGGCGCUCAUAUUUUGUAGGUUGGUUCCUGAUGCACAAAGGCCUGGCUCACCAGGUGAGGGAAGCAUUUAACGGCCUGGGGCUCAAAUGGGUGUCUGAGCAGACAAUAUACCAAACUUUACCGUGGCAUUCCUCAUGGGGACUUGGGAACUGCAAGGCAGGCAGGGAAAUCAUUACUUCCAUUUUUGAGAGGAGGAAGCUGAGGCUUAUUGCUGGGACAUCGCUUUGGCCCCUUACUGACUCUGUUCCACAGCUGCCCGUCAGUGUAACCUGGGGGAGUGAGUGAUGUCUGGAUCCCAGGAGGGAGGACUUAGAGGAGGUGUCAGACACCCCCAACCCUGAGUCCCACAGAGAAACUGACAGAGCCACAGAGAGGCCGGCCGACUUUGUACUUGGACUUGGCAAUUCCUUUGGAACCCUCUUUCAGAGCACACACCAGAUUUGAGAGAGCAUUCCAGAAUCCUUCAAAUUGUAUUCUCAUAUUCCUUCUAGGUGCAAAGUUAACUCUUGAGUCAGAGUCCAAGACAGAGAGAUCUGAGAGCAAAUUCCCGUGUCACUGAUUAGCUGUGUCACUUUACCUCUCUAGGCCUAGGCUUUCCUCAUCAGCAAAACUGAAGUUAGAAACCCCCUCAUGCUUCUCUCUCAGAGACAUUAAAAUGAAAUAGGACAUUAGAAGAGCUUGUGUUGAUCACAAAGGGCAAGGAGUCAUACUAAGCUGAGUGAGCAGGAGUUAGUGAGUCCCCGUGGUGUUCCUUCCCAGCAAUGUAACUGCAUUUUAACCACAGCCUUUGGUAACUCAAACCCAAAGAACAGAAAACCUCUAGGUGAAAACAGUGCCCAUAGUAGCUCAGAAAGGUGGUGGGGGGGACCUAAGAAAAAAUUCACAGUAGCUAAGAAACAGUUCCUGUAGUAACUUUAAAAAAAAAAAAAAAAAAA